AAAGCUACCCCGGGGAUAACAGGCUUAUCUCCCCCAAGAGUCCACAUCGACGGGGAGGUUUGGCACCUCGAUGUCGGCUCAUCGCAUCCUGGGGCUGUAGUCGGUCCCAAGGGUUGGGCUGUUCGCCCAUUAAAGCGGUACGCGAGCUGGGUUCAGAACGUCGUGAGACAGUUCGGUCCCUAUCCGUCGCGGGCGCAGGAAAUUUGAGAGGAGCUGUCCUUAGUACGAGAGGACCGGGAUGGACGCACCGCUGGUGUACCAGUUGUUCUGCCAAGGGCAUCGCUGGGUAGCUAUGUGCGGACGGGAUAAGUG
rnacentral:rRNA from 1 species